rnacentral:rRNA from 1 species
ACUUGUAAGCUAUCGCCUGAANAGGGGUUUGCGUCUGAUUAGGUAGUUGGUGAGGUAACGGCCCACCAAGCCGACGAUCAGUAGCCGGUCUGAGAGGGAUGAACGGCCACACUGGAACCUGAGACACGGUCCAGACUCCUACGGGAGGCAGCAGUGGGGAAUCUUCCGCAAUGGGCGAAAGCCUGACGGAGCAACGCCGCGUGAGUGAUGACGGCCUUCGGGUUGUAAAGCUCUGUGAUCGGGGACGAACGGUCAGCAGACGAAUACUCUGCUGAAGUGACGGUACCCGAAUAGCAAGCCACGGCUAACUACGUG